AUGGUUUCCCAAUGAUUUGGUUGUAUGGAGACCUUGCAUUUUAAAUGUCCUCCUAUCCAACACCAUCAGACCACAAAGACCACCGACCAAAUGACCACAAAAACUUAAAGACCACAGUCAACAUACAUCAAAGUUGCUGGUGAACGCAGCAGGCCAAGCAGCAUCUGUAGGAAGAGGUGCAGUCGACAUUUCAGGCCGAGACCCUUCGUCAGGACUAACUGAAGGAAGAAAAAGACAUUUAAGGAGCAUGUAGCUUUCAAGCCAUGUAAAUAUUUCCUGCUCAGAGCAAUGGUUGGUCCGCACAGCUGAAAAAAAAAAGAGAUGGUGCCUGACUUGCUGAAUUUCUCCAGGAUUUUGUGUGAGUCGCUUUGGAUUUCCAGAAUCUGCAGAAUCUCUUGUGUUUAUCGUUAAUAGUCUGAUUUGGUCCAAGCACACACUCUAUGGCCAAGAAAGCUCACCAGUACCUCAGCUUUCUCAGGAGGCUAAGGAGAUUCACAGUGACCCUUACCAACCUUUAUUGAUGUAUCAUAGAAAGCAUCCUAUCUAAAUGCACUAUGGCUUGGCGUGUUAAUUGUUCUGCCAGAGAUGGUAACAAGCUGCAGUGUGGUGCACCCAGCAUAGCACAUCACAGAAACCAGCCUUAUCUCUAUGGACUCAGUCUACUCCUCACUGUCUCAGUAAAGCAGCAUGCAUAAUCAAAGACCUUACCCACCCUGGAUAUUCUCUCUUCUUCCACCACAUCAGGCAGAAGAUAUACAAGCCUGAAAGCAUGUUCAACCAGGGUCAAGGACAGCAUCUAUCCCACUGUCAUUAGGCUUUUGAACAGACCUCUUGUUUGAUAAGAUGGACACUUGACCUCACAAUCUAUCUCACUAUGAUCGUACACUUUGUCUUCUUGCACUGAACAUUCUCUGUGACUAUAACACUUUAUUCUACCUUAUGUUAUUGUUCUCUCUUGUAUUAUUGUGCGCAUGCAGCCUGGUACGGCCAUUCCGAUCUAUUCUUACUUUCUUCUUCUUACUUUUCAACUUACGUUAUUUUUUGUAUUUUUUUCUCACGGUAACACAUCGAAGCUGCACCCUCCCUAACAUGCUGGUAGGGAGAGUUUUAUUUGGGUUUUCUUUAGCGCUGGAAAUGGUUACAUCCCAACAUGCGGGACAGAAGCAAGGUCAUAUUGUGUAUUCCACGGAACAGCAAAUACCAGCGGGUUUAGCGAACAGAGUGGCGGACACCCCUGCUGAAAUCCGGAGGAAAACACACAGAGGAUGCAGAGGGGGAUCACAAAACUGAGGAAAGAGGACCGGGUCGAGGCGACAGAGACUUUUGGAGAAGAGGAGUUCGGUGGGUAAUACUGUUCGGGCUGACCGGAAGUGCACUGAGAGCGGUAAGCGUAAGGGAGUUUGGUGCUUACUGAUCUGGUUAACAACGGAUGGUGCAAUCCGGGGCAUAUUACGAUCGAGGCAUGUGUUUUCAGACUGGAUAUUGAACUUUUUACUGUUGGACUUCGGCCACAUUCCACCGUGAUACAACACUUGGCGGCACGGGAGGUCGUUCCUGCCUGUGGCCAUCGAACAUGCAGCUCCUCCCAUGGAGGGUCAGACACCCUGAGCCAAUAGACUGGUCCUGGACUUAUUUUCCAUCUGGCAUAGUUUGCAUUUUGUUGUUUGAUUGUUUGGGCGGUUUUGUAUUGCUAUAUUUACGCUCUAUUCUUGGUUGGUGCGGCUGUAACGAAACCAAAUUUCCCUCAGGAUUAAUAAAGUAUAUUUAUCUAUCAUCUAUCUAUCUAUCUACCUCAGUGUACUGAAGUGAUGAAAAGGUCUGUUUGGAUGGCAUGCAAAACAAGUUUUUCACUGUGACAGUAAUAAAUAAAUUACAAUUUACAGGAAGGUUCCAAAUGUGCUCUCACGUAUUCCCUCUCCAUUUGUGGGAAGACUUCCCUACUUGGAGUUACAUCCCUGUGCCUUUAUCAGUGUUAGAAGCUCUCUCCCCUCAGCAACCAAGACAUGUCCAUCAUUGUAGAAAAUGGCUUCUUGAUGAGUUUGGACAGCUGCCAAUCAAAGGUUUGGAGGAAGGAAGAAAAUAUUGGAAGUGGAAGGUGCCUGUCAGUUGUGAAGUUGGGUUCAACUCUGCUGUUGUCUUUCAUUUGUUCUCAGUGUUGCUUUGCUGAUUCUGAAUUAGCUUCCACAUUGGCCAAUGUGCUACAGGGGGAUCUUCCAUCACAUUAAUGUUACAUAAUAAAUAAUGCUUCUUAGGUUGACUGCCGGGAAAGAAUUGAAUCCAGGCCAGAAGAUUAAAGAUUAGCUUUAUUACACUUACAUUAGAGCAUACCAUGACGUGGGUUGUUCGUGUCACAUCAAUUUACCAAGGAUUGUGCUGCGGGCAGCCCCCAGGAUUUGCCAUGCUUCUGGUGGCAACGUAGCAUGCCCACACACACCAACCCUUCCUCUACCUCUUUGGAAGGAAACUGGAGCACCUGGAGGAAACACACGUGGUCACAGGGAGAACAUACAAACUCCAUACAGACAGACCGGGUAUCAAACCCUGAUCAGUGAUUGCUGUAAAGCGACUGUGCUAACCACUAUGCUAUUGUGUCGCCCAUGGUUUUCACAUUUCCUUUGCAUGUGUGACUGAACCAGAAUCUUGCACCAAUCAACUUCCCAGCUCUUGACUUCAACCCUCGCCCUCCCGGUUUCACCGAUCACCUUGUGUUUCAACCUCCCCUCCCUCCCCCCACCUUUUAAAUCUACUCAUCUUUUUUUCCUCCAGUCCUGCCAAAGCAUCUCAGCCCGAAAUGUUGACUGUACUUUACCCCAUAGACACUGCCUGGCCUGCUGAGUUCCUGCAGCAUUGUGUGUGUUGCUUGAAUCAGUUAUUGUUGGUUACAGACUGUGUCUGGCUCCCUGCUGAAGUUGGGCACAUUAGAGUCAUAGAGUCCUGGAGUUAUACAGAUUGGCCCUUGAUCCCAACUCAUCCAGGCUGACCCAGGUGGCCAUCCA